AGGUUUAGAAAAGAAAUUAUCAAAUAAUAUUUCUAAUAAGAAAUGGAUAUUUUUCAAUUUUGCCUUAGCUUAAGGUUGCUCUAUGUCAUGGUUCAAAUUCAGUGUUCAAUAACUUAUUGCCUAAAUGUACAAUGAUCUAUCUGGUCCCCUCAAUGAGGCCAGAAGAAAAGAAUAAACUGGUAAAAAGGGGGCUAAGAUCCUCCAAGAACUGAGUUUGUGUUCCAGCUCUAUCACUUACUUUUGAUUAUCUGUGGGCAAUUUAUGUAAUGUAUUUUAAAUUAUGUUUUCCAUACCAGUAACAGGGACACAAUAAUUUACAUCCUGCAUAUCUUGAGACUAAAUGAGUCAGUAUGUAUAACAGAACUUUGUGGUGCUUUACAAAUUGUAAUAUUGAUGUGUUUUUGACUCAGCAGGCCCUGUUGACUGGAGGGUGGCCAUUUGAUAACACAGAUUCUUUCCUGAGGAGACUUUGGCUUCUGGUGACUUGGGUCCCGGGCAGGCUGGCUGAAUUGGCUACAACCCAGAUUUGCCCUUAUAAGUGUGGAAAAUGGCCUCCAAUAUGACCCCAAGGCAAGAUGAAAGAAAACUGUGCUCUUGAAUGGCUUAGAGAUUCAGAGUCCCCCAACCAGUUUGAAAUGCCCACCUCAAAACAAUGACAUGAGAAGAAACAAAUCUCUAAGUCGCUGUUUUUUCAAGAGCAUUGUAGUUUGAGAUCUCUCUUUCAGCCGUUUAGUCUCCAAAUAAAGACUUACUGACCUUAUUUUACAGGUCAAGAAAAAAUGAAUUUCAGGGGGACAAGUCACUAAUGUAUUAGAAAUUUUCCAGCUCUCCUUCCUUGCCCAGCAGAGGGUAUUUCCACUCAAACACAAUGAACCCG
rnacentral:lncRNA from 1 species